GGAACGUGCGCGGUGCAUCAACGCCGUGGUCUGCACCGUACCCAACGAAGGCCAUGGAGCCUGUGGGAGAGACGCAAAACCAAAUGGAACCCUCAACCUGAAGAUGUGGACUGCAAUGUUGCUCCUGGUAUAUAUUUGCUUCCACGGGAUAAUGCUCUAUUGCUGUUGUGGCCUCCUUGUGAUGCCUUCCUAGCUACCAUCUUCUUCACUGAAGCUACAUGAUAAAGUUUCAAAUUAUGAACUAGAUUUUUGCCAAUGGCAAUGUAUUAGUACUUUGUGUUAUGACUAAAGAAAGUACUUUGUGUCGGUAUCUGUCAUCAAACGUACAUUAGUACAGUUUGUAGUCAACCAAGCACAACUUCUGUGAUACUAAAAUUUUGCCGAUGGCAAUGUAUUAGUACUUUGUUUUCUGAAGAACCAAGUAGGAGCUCUGCCAAAAUACUGUUAAGAAGAGUGAAUGGAGUACUUACUGUGUAUAACUAUGGUUAUAACUAUCCAAAUUUUAUACGUAGAUUUUUCUUUUCAUAUUUAUAAGAUAGAAUCUCCUAUAAGCAAUAGUAUGGACGGAAUUUCUGCUGACUUACAUUUCUAUAAGAUUGAGAUAAUGAUACUACUGCUUAAAUCAUUACACCAAAGGUUGUAUACAAAGUCAAUGCCCCCUCGGUUAUACUGCCGAGAGCAUCCAUCACCAUGAUCAUGGGAGAGCAGGUUAGGCAUGUUACCACCAACAUGAUUUUUAAUGUUUCUUUCUUUGUAAUACUGAUCAUCUGUUUGACAUAGUGCCUAGCCAUGGUGCCAUGGUGCCAUGUGCAAGUCAUUGUUGAGGGCGCAUGGACAGAAUUGCAGAUCAAUAUCUAACACUAUGUGCCAGGUCUAGGAGACCGGGGCAUCCAGAUGAACCUCUUCGAGUUUCACAUCAAAAGGAAGAUAAGAUGAGGCAGCAGCAGAUGGAUUGGGAGCUGCACUUCAUUAGUGCACCAUGACAUAGCGGCAAGGAUCGCUGACAAUUGGUACUCACCAGCCGCCCAGCACAUGCCAAGACCGCAUCUACAACCAUCAUGGAAUAUGUUUCAAGUCGGGAGAAGAUAACCAGUUCUAUUUUAACUUAGAAUAUGACGAUGAAUCAUAGCUCUGUAUAGAAAAUUCAAGUUCAUUUGGAAACCGUAUAUAACUUCCUAUUGUGUGGGUCUAAAAUUUU